ACCAGUACCGUGAGGGAAAGGUGAAAAGCACCCCGGAAGGGGAGUGAAAUAGAACCUGAAACCGUGUGCUUACAAGUAGUCAGAGCCCGUUAAUGGGUGAUGGCGUGCCUUUUGUAGAAUGAACCGGCGAGUUACGAUUUGAUGCAAGGUUAAGCAGUAAAUGUGGAGCCGUAGCGAAAGCGAGUCUGAAUAGGGCGUUUAGUAUUUGGUCGUAGACCCGAAACCAGGUGAUCUACCCUUGGUCAGGUUGAAGUUCAGGUAACACUGAAUGGAGGACCGAACCGACUUACGUUGAAAAGUGAGCGGAUGAACUGAGGGUAGCGGAGAAAUUCCAAUCGAACCUGGAGAUAGCUGGUUCUCUCCGAAAUAGCUUUAGGGCUAGCCUCAAGUGAUGAUUAUUGGAGGUAGAGCACUGUUUGGACGAGGGGCCCCUCUCGGGUUACCGAAUUCAGACAAACUCCGAAUGCCAAUUAAUUUAACUUGGGAGUCAGAACAUGGGUGAUAAGGUCCGUGUUCGAAAGGGAAACAGCCCAGACCACCAGCUAAGGUCCCAAAAUAUAUGUUAAGUGGAAAAGGAUGUGGCGUUGCCCAGACAACUAGGAUGUUGGCUUAGAAGCAGCCAUCAUUUAAAGAGUGCGUAAUAGCUCACUAGUCGAGUGACACUGCGCCGAAAAUGUACCGGGGCUAAACAUAUUACCGAAGCUGUGGAUUGUCCUUUGGACAAUGGUAGGAGAGCGUUCUAAGGGCGUUGAAGCAUGAUCGUAAGGACAUGUGGAGCGCUUAGAAGUGAGAAUGCCGGUGUGAGUAGCGAAAGACGGGUGAGAAUCCCGUCCACCGAUUGACUAAGGUUUCCAGAGGAAGGCUCGUCCGCUCUGGGUUAGUCGGGUCCUAAGCUGAGGCCGACAGGCGUAGGCGAUGGAUAACAGGUUGAUAUUCCUGUACCACCUAUAAUCGUUUUAAUCGAUGGGGGGACGCAGUAGGAUAGGCGAAGCGUGCGAUUGGAUUGCACGUCUAAGCAGUAAGGCUGAGUAUUAGGCAAAUCCGGUACUCAUUAAGGCUGAGCUGUGAUGGGGAGAAGACAUUGUGUCUUCGAGUCGUUGAUUUCACACUGCCGAGAAAAGCCUCUAGAUAGAAAAUAGGUGCCCGUACCGCAAACCGACACAGGUAGUCAAGAUGAGAAUUCUAAGGUGAGCGAGCGAACUCUCGUUAAGGAACUCGGCAAAAUGACCCCGUAACUUCGGGAGAAGGGGUGCUCUUUAGGGUUAACGCCCAGAAGAGCCGCAGUGAAUAGGCCCAAGCGACUGUUUAUCAAAAACACAGGUCUCUGCUAAACCGUAAGGUGAUGUAUAGGGGCUGACGCCUGCCCGGUGCUGGAAGGUUAAGAGGAGUGGUUAGCUUCUGCGAAGCUACGAAUCGAAGCCCCAGUAAACGGCGGCCGUAACUAUAACGGUCCUAAGGUAGCGAAAUUCCUUGUCGGGUAAGUUCCGACCCGCACGAAAGGCGUAACGAUUUGGGCACUGUCUCAACGAGAGACUCGGUGAAAUCAUAGUACCUGUGAAGAUGCAGGUUACCCGCGACAGGACGGAAAGACCCCGUGGAGCUUUACUGUAGCCUGAUAUUGAAAUUCGGCACAGCUUGUACAGGAUAGGUAGGAGCCUUUGAAACGUGAGCGCUAGCUUACGUGGAGGCGCUGGUGGGAUACUACCCUAGCUGUGUUGGCUUUCUAACCCGCACCACUUAUCGUGGUGGGAGACAGUGUCAGGCGGGCAGUUUGACUGGGGCGGUCGCCUCCUAAAAGGUAACGGAGGCGCUCAAAGGUUCCCUCAGAAUGGUUGGAAAUCAUUCAUAGAGUGUAAAGGCAUAAGGGAGCUUGACUGCGAGACCUACAAGUCGAGCAGGGUCGAAAGACGGACUUAGUGAUCCGGUGGUUCCGCAUGGAAGGGCCAUCGCUCAACGGAUAAAAGCUACCCCGGGGAUAACAGGCUUAUCUCCCCCAAGAGUUCACAUCGACGGGGAGGUUUGGCACCUCGAUGUCGGCUCAUCGCAUCCUGGGGCUGUAGUCGGUCCCAAGGGUUGGGCUGUUCGCCCAUUAAAGCGGUACGCGAGCUGGGUUCAGAACGUCGUGAGACAGUUCGGUCCCUAUCCGUCGUGGGCGUAGGAAAUUUGAGAGGAGCUGUCCUUAGUACGAGAGGACCGGGAUGGACAUACCUCUGGUGUACCAGUUGUCGUGCCAACGGCAUAGCUGGGUAGCUAUGUGUGGACGGGAUAAGUGCUGAAAGCAUCUAAGCAUGAAGCCCCCCUCAAGAUGAGAUUUCCCAACUUCGGUUAUAAGAUCCCUCAAAGAUGAUGAGGUUAAUAGGUUCGAGGUGGAAGCAUGGUGACAUGUGGAGCUGACGAAUACUAA
rnacentral:rRNA from 1 species